UGGCACUGGGUGGCAGAGGGGACGCCUCCCGGAGAGGUGGCUGCUGUAGUGCUGCUGUGUUACGGGUGGCGAUGCAGGAGCUACUGGGACAUUUAUCAUGCACAGGCCUCAUCUGCGAGCACAUUCCUGAAGGUGCCCAAGACAGCGGAGGAAGAGCUCGUGGAACUGAUACUGGUGUUACUUCAUGAGGCUGGAUUUUGAGAUGGCGUACACAAUUUAAAGUUCAAGUCCUGGAUCUCAUGAUGGAAUGGGGGAGAGGUGUGAGAGGCGUAAACUUUCAGGAUGGGAUGCUACAUUAAAACAUCAGCAUGCAUCAGUGCAAUUUGUGGGUCACAUUUUCCAGGGUCCUUGAAAAAGCAGCUGUAAAAUUGGUAAAUGGAACAAAAGCAAUUAGCUUGCUUCAUUGCUCGGGUCCCUGCAGAAUCUACUCUGGCAAGUAUUGGAAGCAUUUCCAGUUACUCACUUUCAGUACAAAAGCUGUUAAAAGCAGAUCAUAAUGUAAAAUUGUUUUUUUCGGUUUUGUGUUUUGUU